CAGCGAGCUUCCUUCCUCAAAGAGAACUGCGCAGUGUGAAAUGAAGAACUGAGGACAGAAACCUACAGGAGGGAGUCAAGGACUUUGCCACACGUGUGAAAUCCAUGAGGAGCGGGCAACUUUUAUGCUUAAAAGAGCACAUUCACGGAUGUGUACCACCAGGAUUUAAAUGUGAAGUGUAUCAAAUGUUGCGCUACGGUUACCUCGUGAACUGUGCAAACAUCCACAGAAUACGGCAAGUGUGCUUCUCUGUUCCUCCAACCAGAAUGCAGCUUUGAGUCAGUUUGCCCAU